rnacentral:rRNA from 1 species
AAUGAACGCUGGCGGCAUGCCUAACACAUGCAAGUCGAACGAGACCUUCGGGCCUAGUCCCUCACGCGUGAGUAACCAGUUGGAGCCUGCCAUUAGGUUCUGAAUCACUCGCCGAAAGGCGUGCUAAUACCGGAAAAUGUCUUCGGACCAAAGAUUUAUCGCCUAUGGAUGGGCCCGCGUUGGAUUAGCUAGUUGGUAGGGUAAUAGCCUACCAGGGCGACGAUCGAUAGCCGCUCUGAGAGGAUGAUCGGCCACACUGGGACUGAGACACGGCCCAAACUCCUACGGGAGGCAGCAGUGGGGAAUAUUGGACAAUGGGCGAAAGCCUGAUGCAGCGAUGCCGCGUGAGUGAUGAAGGCCUUAGGGUUGUAAAGCUCUUUCAGCCGGGAUGAUAAUGACGGUACCGGGAGAAUAAGCUCCGGCUAACUCCGUG